AUACGUAGGGUGCAAGCGUUAAUCGGAAUUACUGGGCGUAAAGCGUGCGCAGGCGGUUUUGUAAGACAGUGGUGAAAUCCCCGGGCUCAACCUGGGAACUGCCAUUGUGACUGCAAGGCUGGAGUGCGGCAGAGGGGGCUGGAAUUCCGCGUGUAGCAGUGAAAUGCGUAGAUAUGCGGAGGAACACCGAUGGCGAAGGCAAUCCCCUGGGCCUGCACUGACGCUCAUGCACGAAAGCGUGGGGAGCAAACAGGAUUAGAUACCCUGGUAGUCCACGCCCUAAACGAUGUCAACUGGUUGUUGGGGAUUUAUUUUCUCAGUAACGAAGCUAACGCGUGAAGUUGACCGCCUGGGGAGUACGGCCGCAAGGUUAAAACUCAAAGGAAUUGACGGGG
rnacentral:rRNA from 1 species